GAUGAACGCUGGCGGCGUGCCUAAUACAUGCAAGUCGAGCGAACAGACGAGGAGCUUGCUCCUCUGACGUUAGCGGCGGACGGGUGAGUAACACGUGGAUAACCUACCUAUAAGACUGGGAUAACUUCGGGAAACCGGAGCUAAUACCGGAUAAUAUAUUGAACCGCAUGGUUCAAUAGUGAAAGACGGUUUUGCUGUCACUUAUAGAUGGAUCCGCGCCGCAUUAGCUAGUUGGUAAGGUAACGGCUUACCAAGGCAACGAUGCGUAGCCGACCUGAGAGGCUGAUCGGCCACACUGGAACUGAGCCACGGUCCAGACUCCUACGGGAGGCAGCAGUAGGGAAUCUUCCGCAAUGGGCGAAAGCUUGACGGAACAACGCCGCGUGAGUGAUGACGGUCUUCGGAUCGUAAAACUCUGUUAUUAGGGAAGAACAAAUGUGUAAGUAACUAUGCACGUCUUGACGGUACCUAAUCAGAAAGCCACGGCUAACUACGUG
rnacentral:rRNA from 1 species